rnacentral:rRNA from 1 species
UCUGAAUAUACCAAAUCUCUGAUUUCAGGAGCUAAGCAGAGUCUGGCCUGCUUAGUAUUUGAAUGAGAGAACACCAAGGAGUACCAGAGAUUUCCAGGU